GGGGAUAGCUCAGUUGGGA
rnacentral:siRNA from 1 species